rnacentral:rRNA from 1 species
AUUGAACGCUGGCGGCAUGCCUUACACAUGCAAGUCGAACGGUAACGCGGGGCAACCUGGCGACGAGUGGCGAACGGGUGAGUAAUGCAUCGGAACGUACCCAGUAGUGGGGGAUAGCCCGGCGAAAGCCGGAUUAAUACCGCAUACGACCUACGGGUGAAAGGGGGGGAUCGCAAGACCUCUCGCUAUUGGAGCGGCCGAUGUCAGAUUAGGUAGUUGGUGGGGUAAAAGCCUACCAAGCCUGUGAUCUGUAGCUGGUCUGAGAGGACGACCAGCCACACUGGGACUGAGACACGGCCCAGACUCCUACGGGAGGCAGCAGUGGGGAAUUUUGGACAAUGGGCGCAAGCCUGAUCCAGCAAUGCCGCGUGCGGGAAGAAGGCCUCGG